UGUUUUGUUUUUGCAUAGCAUGCUAAAGUAACUUGUAGGAAUGCCUCCUAUUAACAUAUUGCUGCUUCCCCUCCCCUUACACCGUUCAGUUCUAGGCAUACUAUGUCACUUACCAUGUUUUUGAAGAAGCUCUUAGCUUUGCGACAUGAAAAUGGAGCAGUGUCUGCACUCUUCAUGGCAAUUGUGCUCUGAAGGUUUCUAUGCAUGACUCUGGCUCUAUUGUCUUAUUUAAACUGAAAAGAGCUGAUGGUUCUUGGUUUGGAUAUCGGGAGGUGGAAAAAUUGGCAUCCUUAUCUGGAAUUCAGUUACGGGAUGCUUUUGCAAUCCUGGUUCCUGUGCAAAAUAUCUUGGCUUGUCUAACUCGGAUCUUCUUUCUAUCGUAGAGGCUGGGCAUGUUAGCUGGGAUGACAAUGAUGUAAUAAAUGGAAAACCAACUGGAGCGGUUAGAGUAUCUAUUGGUUACAUGUCAACUUAUGAAGAUGCUAAGAAACUUGUUGAUUUUAUGAGAAGGUCCUUUGUAUCCAUACCAAGUGAGUUCGAGAAAGGGUACCUGUUCAGAUCAAAGUCAAUUCCAUACCAAAACUGAAGGUUGUUCAGGGUUUUGGUUCAU